ensembl:lncRNA
GUUUAACAACACGUAUCUGUCAGAAUGUGAUCUCCGUAGCCCUUGUUUGUGGAACUGUAUCAAAGCAUGAAAUAAUGAGACUCCUCAUAAAGUCAGGAAAAGAGCUGUUGAUGCUCGUAGGCUAAGACUAUUACGUUUCGGUGUUGUCAGUGUGUUGUUUUUGGCGUGACUGUUAUGUGUUUCCUGUUUACUUUGAAAGUCUGUGUUAUCUUAGUGUUUUCAGUUUACGUUUCCCUGUCUCGUCAGGUCUAAUUUGCCCCAGCUGUGUUUCCCUCCUGUUGUCCAUUUUCCUGAUUGCUCCCUCUAUGUAUUUAAACCCUGUGUUUCAGUGUGUCAUGGUCGCGAUCUCCCCCGUGUUGUAAAUAGUUUGGUGUUUUGUUGUAAAUAAAUAGUUUGUUGUAAAUAGAUUUGUCGAUACUUUCGUUUUGGGAUUUUGGUGGUGAGCUUUAGUGGGGUUUUUUGUGUGUGUGUUUUUUUUUUUUCUUUAUUUUUACUUUUUUCGUGUUGCACUCCGGUUGCCUAGGCCGGGGUCCUUAGUGUUUUCAGUUUACGUUUCCCUGUCUCGUCAGGUCUAAUUUGCCCCAGCUGUGUUUCCCUCCUGUUGUCCAUUUUCCUGAUUGCUCCCUCUAUGUAUUUAAACCCUGUGUUUCAGUGUGUCAUGGUCGCGAUCUCCCCCGUGUUGUAAAUAGUUUGGUGUUUUGUUGUAAAUAAAUAGUUUGUUGUAAAUAGAUUUGUCGAUACUUUCGUUUUGGGAUUUUGGUGGUGAGCUUUAGUGGGGUUUUUUGUGUGUGUGUUUUUUUUUUUUCUUUAUUUUUACUUUUUUCGUGUUGCACUCCGGUUGCCUAGGCCGGGGUGUAACAGUAGGCUAAGACUAUUACAGAACUAUGUUUAGCGUUUAGAUUUCACCAAUCCACAGUCGAACAGGUUUCAUGCAAAUAGACAACUAGUCGUCCAAGAGCAGUUACAGGAACCUUUGUUAGUUAUGUAAUAUUUAUGAAUGAAUUUCGUUAUUAAUUAAGUGACCACGGUAACAUCCGGUUGUUAAAUGAUGACAUAUGAACCCUUCUUCCCUUGCAGCCCAGCCCAUGCAGCAGUAUAUUAAUGACUAACCUCAUAUCCGGUUGUUAAGUGAUGACGUGACGAAU